UGCAGGAGAUAGGGUUGUAUGACCAAAAGCCUCACCUCUGGCCAUAGGGAGGGAAGUCUGACCUUGGCCGUUGCAGGACAAAGAGCUCCCAGUAGAGCUGACUGGACACAGAUAUUAAGCCAGCCAAGAAGAGACUGCAGAUUCAUCAACCAGUUACCUUGGAGAACAUGCUAUGCCCCUCGUCAGCAAUUCAACCAACAGUCCAAGUAUUAAGCAACUUGCAAUGGAUGGUAUGGGCAUCCAGUUUAUUCUAAUAAACUCAUCCCCCAAGCACUGCAGUGGAAGAGGCUGGGAUGAACUUGCUGGAUCAAUCCAUCAUCAAGAGAGAUAAGGAAGCAUCUGCUCAUGCAGGAGCCUGGGAUCCUGCUCCAGUCUCUGGGACCAGCUCUUGGCAAGUGCUGUCCUCUGCACCUCAGGGUUGCUCUGCCUCCCAAGGUACUUGGCCAAAUUGACCAGCACUCAGCUCUCUCCUCCUCACAGCACUGAGCAGGAGAUGGGACAUGGGCUGGAGGAUCUCUGACCACUGCUUCCCUCCCGCUGGCCAAGUGCCUUUGGAGGCAGAGUAGACACUUCUACUUAAUGCUACAUUAAUCACUGGCAAGUCCAUCAAACAGAACCAGAGAGAGAGAAGUCUGCUUGUUCAGAAUUGCCAAGAGAUGCAUCGGAUUAGACAUUUUGCAGGUCAGGACAUGAGUAAAGUAUGUGUGACAGACUCGCUACCUGCUGAUGGAACCUCUGGCAUUUACUGUCCUCAGCAAUGCUAUAAUCUCUCAGGGGACCAUUAGAAUCAAGUGAAAAUCUUAUUCUGAAAGAACUUUGAAGACAGAGAUAGAGAGUUUGAGGUUUUUUUGACAUUUAACCAAACCAUUUUCCUGAUUGUUUGACUUUUUUUCUGCUUUUCUUUUAUCAUUUACUAUUCAUGGUCAGAAUGAGAAGUCACCAAUAUGCUGCAAGGCAAAGGCACACCAAUAUAAAUGUUAAUAAUGUUAAUCAAGUACGUGAGGGUGUUACCUUGUCCUCUCUCAUUUAUUUGUUUUCUCCUCUUAGUGUAUCUCACCACACAUAUUGAUUGUAAGGGCACUGAGAAAGGGACUAUAUUUUAUGUCAUGCAUGUGACCAAUAUUGAGCUCAGUGAAACCAUGGUCCCCAAACAGAGCCUCUAGGUACUACUGAAAUAUUGAUAAAUGUGAUUCUGCUGAAUGCUCCCUCCUAACCCCCCCCCCACAAAAAAAAAUUUCACAAGCUAUAACUGUCUUAUCUACCAAACACCAUUGUUCUGAUAUCAAAACUUCUUUCAGCUGAAAUAAAAAUAAGCAAGUAACUGGAAAGUAAAUACUAUUGAUUAUGUCAACUAAACAAAUUGGAAAGCAAGUGGCAAGAAGUCCUAGAAUGUCUGUUGAAAAGAACAACAAAAAAAAAGAAAAUAGCACUAAUUCUAUUUAAAGGGUAAAAACUGAGCUGAGUAGGGGCAUAUGUGUGUGCGAGCAUGCACACAAACACACUUACUUUGAGGAA